CCAACUGGGUGCUAUCGUUCCAGUCGUCACUCCCGCCAUGAACGAUGUCAA
rnacentral:SRP_RNA from 1 species